UUUUUUUUUUUUUUUUUUUUUUUUUUUUUUUUUGUCAAAUCUCUAAUAGACUCAAAUAAGCUAAAAACUCUCCAAAAAAAACUCUUUACUAAACAAGGCCUUUGUCUAAUUUUCGUAAUAUUUAAUUUAGUUACAUCUAAAAUUCUAUUUAAAUUGAUCUAUUGAUUUUGGAGUACUCUCUUUGUCUUAUAAUCUAGUGUAUACUUUGUAUAUAUUUCAUUUUAUGCGAUCUUUAUUGUUUAAGUUAAGACACUUCUUUGACCAUCAGUGUAUAUAUAUACAUAUAUAUCAACACAACAACCACUGGCCACAACAACCUCAGUAACCCACCGACGCGAGCAACAACACCGACAACAAACCCAUCGAGCAGCCCCCAACACAGCAAACCACGGAGCAUCACCGACUCACCGAGCAAGCACCACCAAGCAACAACGCAAUACCAACAACAACACCGACGAGGUGACACCCACCGAGCACCAUCAGCGUUUUUCAGAUCUAAUUUUAUUUUAGGCUUCAGAUGCCGUGGUGGCAGAAUAGCAGUGUGGCGUUUAUCUUAUCAUGGGUUUUGUAUGCCUGUAGUGUGGUUUCAAGAUGUUCACCAGGGCUGCUGCACAGAAGCUUUUCAGAAAUGUUCGAUUAAAAAGGAAGUGGAAGAGAUAUUUGAGCUUUUGAAGUCAACUUGGCGUGUAUUGGGAAUAACAGAGACCAUAUGAUAAACCUAUUAGCUCAAAUGGUAGAUGCAAAUGCAUAGGGGAUGUAGGUUCAAUUCCUACAUAGGUUAUUUCUAUAAACAAAAUUAAUUAAAAAAAAUAAUCAAAUUCAUACUAAAUUAUAUGAGCAUAUAAAUGGUUUGAAAUGAUUUAUAACUA